CAUAUUUUUUAGUCAUGAACGGAUGUAUGAAGUACGCAAGAAUUUAAAAUAAUUUGAGAAAAAAAAAUCGAAUAAAAAUUAAUAUUUUCGUGUGGCAUUAAAUCAAAAAAAUGCUUAAAAUUAGUUGGCAAAUGAACUAAAGUGUUGCAGUUACAAAUUGCUGAACCUACUAAAUGAUGCAAAUAGUUUGAAAAAACGGCUGCUAGAAAACUUUGAUGGUUCUUUUGGAAAAAUUGCUGCCACAAAUAUUCAUUUUUGGAAUUCUUUUAAAAAUUUUAACAAUUUGGAAAUGUAAUGUAAAUGUAAAUAUAAAUCAAAUUUGAAGAUGAAUAUUAUUAUUCCAGAUACCACCUAAUUUCUUUAAAUUUCUGCUGUCAUUUUGGCAACUGUCAUGAUGUUAAAACUGCUGGCAGGACAUUAAACUUGCAAACAAUAAAAAUGGCGAUUCGUUAAGACUUGUUAACAUUUCUCUGGAAGGUCAAAAUGCAUUCGGACUUUUAGUUUUUGUUCUGUCAGCUGUUUUAUCAGUGAUCAGUGAUAAACUUUGUUGACACUCGUAAAUAAUCGAUUAAGUUCUGCCCCUGAUGGCUAUGAGUGGAGACUAGAUCAGUGGUCGGUAAAAAUCAGCAAUAAUGAAUAAUUAUCAAAAUCAAUAGCUGCUCAGAUUACAGCAGAAAAAGAAAGUGGAUUACAAGAAUUCCACGUUUUCUAGAUUUUCAAGAUUUUUAAUAUUUUUGUAUGAAGUUUUCUACUCUUUACUUAAUUUGUUAAUGAAAUUAUUAUCUA